CAACAGGACUGAAGAGCCACAUAUUCACCCAUUACUAGUAUUUGACAUUCACCUGAAAUUGGCAAAGGCACCAUGACUAUGCCACAUUAUUCUUCCAAAUGGAAUUAUCAUAGUUUUGGAUAAGUGAUAAGACUCAGACAGCCACGGCUCGGUUUUCCCUUGGGUCCUCGACAAAGCAGUUGUAUCUCUCCACCUCACGGCCACAGACCACUCGGAGAUCAAGGCUUCUGCAUGCCCCCCCUGUCUUGAAUGGAGGAGAAGAGAAGGUCAUCUCCAAGCCUCUACCCCAAGUUAGCUCCAGGGAUUGGGAGCAACAAAGGGCUCUCCCUCAGCCUUGGAUCCCCAGUGGAAAGAAGAGUCAUAGAGGGAGGCUCUCUGCCUCUUUCACAUACUGGGGCUUCACUCACCUUAUCCGCCUGAUGCCAGCAUGGGGGCUUUUUGCCUGAAUUCUCCUUCCUGGGAUCUGAGGUGUCCUUCACAAUUCUUGUGGAUUUCCCAUUUUUCUUCUUAAAUUAAAGCUCACAGAGUUUAUCUUUAUGAAUUUCCAAGUGGCUAAGACAUGCUAAAAGCCUCUAAUUCACCAUCCUGGAAAAAGAGAUAUAAUAGUUUGAAAUACAAAGGUUAAUGCUGAAAAAUACACACACACACACAACUAGAAGAGUUGAAAAUGCCUUUAGGGGAGGAAAUGAAUGAGGUUCAGGGCAGGGGCAGGAACUGCUGUUUUUCAUGAUAAGUCUUAUAGAGCUAUUCGGCUUUUCAUAUAACAUUCAUGUAUAUCCUUAAAAGAAAUUAGAAUUACAUUUAAAGAACACCUGCAGGCAGAGGCCGGGAAUGUGCAGGUCAUACUUGGAUAAUGCUUCAUGUUGUAUUUGGUAGAAAUGGAAAAUCAAACAUCGUAUGUUCUCACUGAUAUAUGGGAGCUAAGCUAUGAGGACACAAAGGUAUAAGAAUGAUGUAAUGGACUUUGGGGACUUGGGCGGAAAAAUGGGAGGGGAGCGAGGGACAAAAGACUACAAAUAUGGUGCAGUGUAUAGUCUUCAGGUGAUGGGUGCGCCAAAAUCUCACAAAUCACCACCAAAGAACUUACUCAUGUAACCAAAUACCACUUGUACCCCAAUAACUUAUGGAAAAAUAAUUUUUUUUUGAGACAGAGUCUCACUCUGUCACCCAGGCUGGAAUGCAGUGGUGACAUCUUGGCUCACUGAAAGCUCUGCCUCCCGGGUUCACGCCAUCCUCCUGCCUCAGCCUCCCGAGUAGCUGGGACUACAGGUGCCCACCACCAUGACCAACUAAUUUUUUGUAUUUUUAGUAGAGAUGGGGUUUCACCAUGUUAGCCAGGAUGGUCUCAAUCUCCUGACCCUGUGAUCCGCCCGCCUUGGCCUCCCAAAGUGCUGGGAUUACAGGUGUGAGCCACCGCACCUGGCUGGAAAAAUUAAAAUUUUAAAAAAGAAGUAAAGGUAGAUGAAAGAAAGGGGGAGUAGUCAUGCAACUGAUCUCUUAUGGAAAUAAAGUAAGAACUAAAGUUUGGUUUGGAUAUAAGUGGAGGUGGACAAAGUUUGGCAGACCUUAAAGUAAAAUCACCCAUAGUGUUUAAUUGGAUUUUCAUGUGAAUCCAUUAUCAUUAUAGGGAGAUGAGGGUAACAAUUUAUCUCCAUUUUACAAAUGAGGAUCUGAAACUCACAAAGAUUAAGUGUCUUGGCAAGGGCACCCCACUUAUGAGAAGCAGAGCUGGGACGUCUAACGCCAAGUUCAUCACUCUUCUUAAUUUUGCAGUGCCUGUUACCCUAAAGAGUUGGGCCUGAGCUCAAGGAUGGAUUAUUGAUACAGAUAACAGGCAGCCCAAGAGGUGCAUUUAUUUAAACAGUUAUUGACUAACCAUCCACAUUCAUUCAGAUGAUUAUGUGGUGCUCAACUAGGUGAUCACUAUGCAUUGUUCACCUGUCCUGAAGCCAAUCCCAGAGAAACUGGUAAAAUAAGGUGACUCAGGCACAGACAGCUCUGACUCAGAGUAGAGCCUUCCUCAGACAUCUUGCUUUCUCUGCUUGAUUCUACUACUUAUAUUGAGUUUGCAGGUGUUCCCUACCUAGCUGCCUUUGAAAACACUCCAUCCUCACUAUGUCGUUUAGAAAUUAAAUCUGCCUGGGGUCUUGGCAGCAGUGACCAGUUUAUUCCAGUUUGCCUGGAACUGUCCUUGUUUUAAGCACUGAAAGUCUCACAACCUAGGAAACCCUUUAGUCUCGGGCCCAGUGGAAUGGCUGGUACUGUGGGGUAUGUGUUUCUUGGCCACAUUUUUGAAUAUGACCUAGUUUGGCCCAUACGCUUUAAGAUGAUUCAACAAAUUAUGAAUGGUUCUUUGAGAACUUUUCACAUUAAGUACCUUGGUCCUGGAUUCAGCUGAUUAGAGAAGCAGGAGACAUGCAUAUAUUCCUCUUGUUUUUCAUCCCCCCAGUGUUCCCAGCUGAACAAAAAUCUGGUUAUAUAAUCCAGGGCAAGUGAUUUAAACAGCCUCAUGUGCCUCAUUGGUACUAACAAUGCUUCACAGGGAUGAAAUAAGAAAUUCUCUUCUGCUCUUUCCAUGGUCUCCCUCUGAUGCCGAGCCGAAGCUGGACUGUACUGCUGCCAUCUCGGCUCACUGCAACCUCCCUGCCUGAUUCUCCUGCCUCAGCCUGCCGAGUGCCUGCGAUUGCAGGCGCGCGCCGCCACGCCUGACUGGUUUUCGUAUCUUUUUGGUGGAGAUGGAGUUUCACGCUGUGUUGGCCGGGCUGGUCUCCAGCUCCUAACCGCAAGUGAUCCGCCAGCCU
rnacentral:lncRNA from 1 species